rnacentral:rRNA from 1 species
UGGGAAACUGGGUCUAAUACCGAAUAGGACCGCAUGCUUCAUGGUGUGUGGUGGAAAGCUUUUGCGGUGUGGGAUGGGCCCGCGGCCUAUCAGCUUGUUGGUGAGGUAAUGGCUUACCAAGGCGACGACGGGUAGCCGGCCUGAGAGGGUGACCGGCCACACUGGGACUGAGAUACGGCCCAGACUCCUACGGGAGGCAGCAGUGGGGAAUAUUGCACAAUGGGCGCAAGCCUGAUGCAGCGACGCCGCGUGAGGGAUGACGGCCUUCGGGUUGUAAACCUCUUUCGCCAGGGACGAAGCGCAAGUGACGGUACCUGGAGAAGAAGGACCGGCCAACUACGUGCCAGCAGCCGCGGUAAUACGUAGGGUCCGAGCGUUGUCCGGAAUUACUGGGCGUAAAGAGCUCGUAGGUGGUUUGUCGCGUUGUUCGUGAAAACUCACAGCUUAACUGUGGGCGUGCGGGCGAUACGGGCAGACUUGAGUACUGCAGGGGAGACUGGAAUUCCUGGUGUAGCGGUGGAAUGCGCAGAUAUCAGGAGGAACACCGGUGGCGAAGGCGGGUCUCUGGGCAGUAACUGACGCUGAGGAGCGAAAGCGUGGGGAGCGAACAGGAUUAGAUACCCUGGUAGUCCACGCCGUAAACGGUGGGUACUAGGUGUGGGUUUCCUUCCUUGGGAUCCGUGCCGUAGCUAACGCAUUAAGUACCCCGCCUGGGGAGUACGGCCGCAAGGCUAAAACUCAAAGAAAUUGACGGGGGCCCGCACAAGCGGCGGAGCAUGUGGAUUAAUUCGAUGCAACGCGAAGAACCUUACCUGGGUUUGACAUGCACAGGACGCCGGCAGAGAUGUCGGUUCCCUUGUGGCCUGUGUGCAGGUGGUGCAUGGCUGUCGUCAGCUCGUGUCGUGAGAUGUUGGGUUAAGUCCCGCAACGAGCGCAACCCUUGUCUCAUGUUGCCAGCACGUUAUGGUGGGGACUCGUGAGAGACUGCCGGGGUCAACUCGGAGGAAGGUGGGGAUGACGUCAAGUCAUCAUGCCCCUUAUGUCCAGGGCUUCACACAUGCUACAAUGGCCGGUACAAAGGGCUGCGAUGCCGUGAGGUGGAGCGAAUCCUUUCAAAGCCGGUCUCAGUUCGGAUCGGGGUCUGCAACUCGACCCCGUGAAGUCGGAGUCGCUAGUAAUCGCAGAUCAGCAACGCUGCGGUGAAUACGUUCCCGGGCCUUGUACACACCGCCCGUCACGUCAUGAAAGUCGGUAACACCCGAAGCCGGUGGCCUAACCCC